ACUCGAAAUUUUUUAGUUAAUGCUUUUAACUGUGAAAAAAGUGUGUGUGUAAUGGCGACUGAAGCGACCUGAAACGCUAAUUUUGCCUCAUUCGGUGGUACGUUCUGUUGGGAUCUGUUGGAUUUUGUAUUUUUUUCAAAGAAAAGGCAAUGGAAAACAAAAAUACCGCCCGUAAUGGUGCCAUUAUAAUAACAAGUCAGUAUAUGGAGAGCUCAUUUGCCACGGAGGAAACUGAUCCACUGCUUUGGAAAAAAGUCAACGAAAAUUAAUUCGAUUUAGUCAAAAACUGUAUGUUCAAAUAUUAAUGCGUAUCUGUUACACUUGGCUUGUUUCCCAGAGGGCAACGCCGGCUAGCUGUAGACCCCAAGGCUGGGUAGUUCCCCUCGCCCGCCAAAUGUAGACAAAGAUGGAGACAUACUACUCCUCGGGACAUCAAAACUAACAACAACCAAAAUACAAAGAAAAUCAUAAACAGACGGUUAUCAAGUUGGUGAAGCUUGGGUGUUAUCACUUCGCGCGCCCGCCCUACCUGUGAUCAACCACAACAUUCAUUUGGCCACCCUCUGCUGGAACGGCUGCGGCUGGUCCAAUCCAUGGCUUACGCCACGCGUCCUCCCUCUAUUAAACACCAAAACGUUCGACACAAAGGCAAACAAGGAAAUAACAGCUGAAAUUUCGUUCAACCAUACGUAAUGGAACAUGUGUAGAUGACUGGAUCCAGUUUUACGGGAGUUAAUUAAACUCGGGCCCAUACGGAGACUAACCUACCAAAAGCUCUUGUUAAGGGUCCCCGGGACAUAAACAAUAAGGAGAUUUCCACAAAUCGCUCGACCAUAUACGGUGGACCGACGGGACCCCCGCGUCACCCACUAAGGGUUAAUCUGCUGGAACUGAACAGCUGAUUGCAGAUUUCGGUUCGUGAAAGGUGUUGGUGUUUUUACAUGUUUAGUUCAAUGGCCAAGAUUUUAUGUUAAACUGUUUAAGCUAAUAAUAAAUACUAAAUACUA